GACCUGGUGGUGAAUGGUUCACACUUAAAAUUCUUAAAGUAUUCCGAAGAUUCGUUGUGUGGGAGUUCUCGGUUCGAUUCCAGGCCAGGUCA